rnacentral:rRNA from 1 species
UGGGGAAUAUUGCACAAUGGGCGCAAGCCUGAUGCAGCCAUGCCGCGUGUGUGAAGAAGGCCUUCGGGUUGUAAAGCACUUUCAGCGAGGAGGAAGGUGGUGAAGCUUAAUACGCUCAUCAAUUGACGUUACUCGCAGAAGAAGCACCGGCUAACUCCGUGCCAGCAGCCGCGGUAAUACGGAGGGUGCAAGCGUUAAUCGGAAUUACUGGGCGUAAAGCGCACGCAGGCGGUUUGUUAAGUCAGAUGUGAAAUCCCCGGGCUCAACCUGGGAACUGCAUUUGAAACUGGCAAGCUAGAGUCUCGUAGAGGGGGGUAGAAUUCCAGGUGUAGCGGUGAAAUGCGUAGAGAUCUGGAGGAAUACCGGUGGCGAAGGCGGCCCCCUGGACGAAGACUGACGCUCAGGUGCGAAAGCGUGGGGAGCAAAACAGGAUUAGAUACCCUGGUAGUCCACGCUGUAAAACGAUGUCGAUUUUGGAGGUUGUGCCCUUGAGGCGUGGCUUCCGGAGCUAACGCGUUAAAUCGACCGCC